rnacentral:lncRNA from 1 species
UUUCUGCAUCUAUAAAAAAACAUUGGUGGCAAAUGUUUUCCUUUGAAUUAUGGCAUGGAUAAAAAAAAUAAUAUCCAAUACAACAUAUAACGUUAAUAAUAUCUUAGGCUCUUCACUGAGUUUUCUUCAUGAUUACAGUAAAGACCCACCGGGACGAGCUGCCUUCUUCCUCCGAGAGCACACCUCCUCCCAGAUGCUACGAGAAUAGCAAGGGGAUACAUGUUACAUUGCCAGCAAGCAGAAGGUCCUUUGCAAGAGGUCAGCGGUGGGACUUUGCGAGCACCGCCUCUUCAGACCCCGGCGGCAUCAGCCAGCAGGCGGCGCGUUUCCCCGCCCGGAAAUCCGUCUGCUCCCGCGGAGGCCCAGCUGCCGCAGGCUGCGACUCCUCUCCCGGUGUGUGCACAGGGUGCCCGGCCCCUGGGGUUUAGGGGAGAAAGGCGAAGGCUGCUUGGGGGCACUCCGAGGGAAGGGGACCUGGGGAAAAAAAAACAAAAAACAAAAAACAAGAAGCCAAGAACCUCGCCAAAGGACGGCCCGGGGAAAUAUGGGGAGGGGGUUGAGGAGACGCGGGUAGGUGGAUACGAGCUUCUGAAGGACGGCUUUUAGAGACGGUGGUCUUGGCCUGAGAUUUCUUAGGCACUUCUUAGCCCAGGGGGUCCUGAGAGUAUGGAAGUGAGAAAAGGAGUCUUGUGUCUGGAGAGACGCGGCCAGUGGCUGGGAAGAUUCCGGAGUCCGAGGGUUGUGGGGGCGGGGUGGGGGUGGGGGUCGGGAGAGGAAAUGCGUUAAAAGAAAAAAAAAAAAAGUUAUGUGUUACUUACUGGAAGUGAAUUCGUUAAAAUAGGAGACAGAAGUCAGAUUACAGUAGGAUGACUAGAGAAUAGGUAUAAUUGGGAACAGGAAAUACAAAUUACUUUUUCUCAGUGCGUGGCCAAGUUCGGGAUAGGAUGGUUACGAGGUUAGAAAUGGGACAAUCACCAGAUCAGAAAGUAGGGGUGACACUUAAGGGGACGGCCUUAAUUUUGCCUAAACAUCAUGGGGCGGAAAGUGGUAGUGAUCCCCUGUAUCUGAAUUCUCUUCUUCCUUGCAACACCAUUGCCCUACUUUUCCCCUACCGUUAUCCUUGUGGGGCCACAUGACUGAUCAGCGAAAUUUGGGCAGGAAUUAUGCACACGCGAGCUCUAAAAUCUCUUAGGGAAUAUUCUGUAUUUUUAUUUUUUAAAGAUUAAAUGAAUUGGUGAAAUAGUGGAGCACAGGAUGGAAAAAGCCUGGUGUCUUAACCACUGUGGAAGCUCAUCUACUGACACGGUACUGUGACGUGACUGUCUUCAAAUUUAAUUUCUGUUUCUUUAAGCCUGUGGAUAUUUGCUUUGCAAUAUUUCAGGUUGCGGCAGUUUUCACAACCAGAGCUUCUGAACUCUUUGAAGGAUUUUAAUAAGU